GCCACCCAGCCACCCAGCCACCCAGCCUGCCACAGAGUAAGACAGAAGGGUCAUAACUCAGCAGAGCUUUGGAAGGACUGCAGCUAUGGAGUUGGGAUCUGAGCUACGGAGGCCUGGCUUCCUGAGGAUGCUCCUGAAGGGUGUGUGCUUCCUCACCUGGUGCUCUGAUUAUCCCUAGUUCCUGAGCAUCGUGGGAUGGGCAUCUUUAUACCACCACAUGCUCUCAGCAUGCUGCUCUGCCUCACCAGAGUCUAAAGCAGAUGGAAUCAGCUGACCAUGGACUGAACCCCAAACCUGCCCUGCCCGUACAUUCUCAGAAAACUUGCCUACCUCCAGUUAAGUCAUCUACAGCACCAAUGCCCGCCCUCACUUAAGGCCCGGGGAACAUUCCAGAAGGAUCAGAGGAUCAGGAUGCUGGCUGUGAGAGUGUUUCUAGACACAACAUGGAAGCUACACAUACAAAACACCACCAACACAGUUGCCCUAAACAAGACCUUCAUAAUGACCAUUCCAGCUAACGUACCAACUGAAAGGUUCAGGCAUCACGCUAGCCUGCUCUGUUACCUGGCAAGAUGCACUCAGGCAGCACUCUGGCCAGCCCAGAGUUCUGUGAGAACCACU